UACGGAAGGCAGCAGUGGGGAAUAUUGCACAAUGGGCGCAAGCCUGAUGCAGCCAUGCCGCGUGUAUGAAGAAGGCCUUCGGGUUGUAAAGUACUUUCAGUCGUGAGGAAGGUGUUAAGGUUAAUAACCUUAGCAAUUGACGUUAGCGACAGAAGAAGCACCGGCUAACUCCGUGCCAGCAGCCGCGGUAAUACGGAGGGUGCGAGCGUUAAUCGGAAUUACUGGGCGUAAAGGGCACGCAGGCGGUUAAUUAAGUUGGAUGUGAAAUCCCCGGGCUUAACCUGGGAAUGGCAUUCAAGACUGGUUAGCUAGAGUCUUGUAGGGGGGUAGAAUUCCAUGUGUAGCGGUGAAAUGCGUAGAGAUGUGGAGGAAUACCGGUGGCGAAGGCGGCCCCUGGACAAAGGACUGACGCUCAUGUGCGAAAGCGUGGGGAGCAAAC
rnacentral:rRNA from 1 species